GCAUCAUGGGUGAUAGAAGUUUUUGAGAAGAAGGGUAUAAAACAAACAACUAGGAUAUAACAGUGACUUCAGAUGACAAAACUGAGAUACAAGGAAAUAACCUAUUCGCCAAAAAUGACACAGAAAGUAAAAAAUGUCAUCUUUGAUACCAUCUACUCAAAUAAUAUCAACAUUCUAUACCACAUUUGUGUUGUCUGGGAAUUAAUAUCUGACAGGAUUAAAUGCCAUUUUAUUUCAUACAACUAUAUAUCUGACCCCUGCCCAAACCAUCACCAUAUGAUCACAUUAAAAAAGCAAACAUGUUGCACUGGGAGUAAAGAAAGCAGGUAUGGAAGCAUUACUUUAAUAUAAAAUACUAUUAAUUAGGCAUAAAUCUAUUCAAUUGGAUUUAUCUUUAUCCAUUCAUCUGUUGAUGGGCACCUGA